GACGAACGCUGGCGGCGUGAAUUAGGCAUGCAAGUCGAACGGUAUCAUCCUUUCGGGGGUGAGAGAGUGGCGAACUGGUGAGUAACACGUAGGUUAUCUACCCUCAAGACGGGGACAACCCAGGGAAACUUGGGCUAAUACCGGAUGUGAGCAACUUUUAGUUGUUUGAAAGGUGGCGUAAGCUGUCGCUUGGGGAUGAGCCUGCGUCCUAUUAGUUAGUUGGUGAGGUAACGGCUCACCUAGGCAAUGAUAGGUAGGCGGCCUUAACGGGUGGUCGCCCACACUGGGAUUGAGAUACGGCCCAGACUCCUACGGGAGGCAGCAGUCGAGAAUAGUCUACAAUGGUCGGAAGACUGAUAGUGCGACGCCGCGUGAACGAUGAAUCCCUUCGGGGUGUAAAGUUCUUUUAUAUGUGAGCAGUGCUUCUUAUAUUAACAGUAUGGGGAGAGAGAUAUUAGCAUAUGAAUAAGCAACGGCUAACUCCGUGCCAGCACCGCGGUAAUCU
rnacentral:rRNA from 1 species